rnacentral:rRNA from 1 species
AUGAGCUUCAUAAAGAGAUUUUUGGAGGAGCUAAACAUAGCUAACUUGCACAGACCCAGGGCAAAUGAAGCACGAGCGGUCCGGCAGAGUGCCAAAGUGUGGCUACCGCCUUCGGGCGAGGCUGCAAAAUUCAAAUGUGAUGGGGGCCUGUCAACGUUAGGAGACAAGGGUGCGGCGGGAGUAGUAUGCCUUGACAAUUUUGGGAAAUUCUUGGGUGCUUCAGCGAUGGUUUUUGACGGCCUCACCGACCCGGCUAGUCUGGAGGCACAAGCAUGCAGCGAGACACUAGCCCUAGCCCGGGAUUUGAAUCUGCAAGAUCUUGCCAUUGCCUCAGAUUGUGCAGAAGUGAUUUCAAACAUCAAAUAUGCAGGCUCUCCCACUUAUGCUCCUAUCCUUAGAGAGAUUCAAACUAGUAGCAAUAAUUUUUCUUUUGUUGAGUUCCGUUUCGAGAGUAGAGACAAUAAUUUUGAGGCCCACUCGCUAGCUAAGGGAGUUGCGCCUCUCGCGGUGGGCCGCCAUGUGUGGCUAGGGGUUUUGCCAGAGAUUGCUUGUAUUCCGGAUGUCGUGAACUUGGAAUAA